rnacentral:rRNA from 1 species
UUCUACCUACGGGACGCAGCAGUGAGGAAUAUUGGUCAAUGGUCGGGAGACUGAACCAGCCAAGCCGCGUGAGGGAUGAAGGUACAGAGUAUCGUAAACCUCUUUUGUCAGGGAACAAAGGCGGGGACGUGUCCCCGGAUGAGUGUACCUGAAGAAAAAGCAUCGGCUAACUCCGUGCCAGCAGCCGCGGUAAUACGGAGGAUGCGAGCGUUAUCCGGAUUUAUUGGGUUUAAAGGGUGCGUAGGUGGCAGGGCAAGUCAGAUGUGAACGCCCGGGGCUCAACCCCGGUACUGCAUUUGAAACUG